ensembl:lncRNA
UGUGUGUCUGUCUGUCUGUCUGUCUGUCUGUGUGAGUGCGCGUGCGUUUCCCCGAAAACACGUUACGCGCGCUGAGAGGGGCGGCUGAGAGUCAAACCGGUUCAGCUCACUUCCUCAUAAGUUUGUCGCAGCUUGGAGCCUUUCUUUCUCCGCUUUUUAAACCUUUCACCUGAUUAACUUGUAUAAGGUUUAAAGGUAAACACUUUAACCUCAGUUUCUUCCCUUACAUUUAUACUUUUAUUACUUUAUACCGUAUGGACGCAUUUUAAUCACGGAAUAGAUAAGGUCUCCAGUCUACUAUGGAUGAGGAGAGAGAAGAGGGGUCCUACCUCUAAGACCACUCUGUCUGGGGAACAUGGCCGCCGGAGCAAAGCUAAGAGCCCAGAGCAGCAGCAGAGAGCAGACUCCCCUGGACCCAGCUGUGUCUCCAUGAAGAGUGACCGCUCUAUGGAUGCACCAUUGGUGUUUAAAGAUGGACGCCCCUCCAGAGAGGAGAGGUAGGGGUUCAAACAGACGAUGAAAACAGACCACUUGGUUGUUAUCAGUCUCUACUGAUACUCUACUGGUCUACAAGUCUGGCGAAAUAGAAUUGUGUGUGUGUGUGUGUGUUCCCCAAAGACACCAGAUGACGUCAAAGGUUACCAGUGCUCAGUCUCUACAGCAACAUCAAACAGAGCUGAUCAAGAGGGCUGAGGAGAACGCACACGCUUUUCUAGACAAGGAGCUGAAGAAGCUCUGGAGGAUCUCUUCUCAGAUUACCCACAAUGCUCAGAGGGUCAGAGAGUGGAGGAGGAGGAGGUGGAUGAUAAGAAGGAGGAGCAGAGGAGGCGCGCCAUAGAGGGAGUGGUGGACAUCACAAUCCUCUGCCUGAUGGAAAUGAACCAGGAGGAACUGGCCGACACACUGCGGGGCGGAGCUGCUGAUGUCGAGUGCCAACAUAAAAUCAAGUCUCAUUUGAGGAAUAAGUUCU